UCCAAACGUAAAAAAGUUACCUUCUUGUUGAUUUAAAUAAGUUCAAAUUUUCCAGAUUCAGGCUAAAAAACCGGAAGUAGUUCCUACAAUGGAGUUUUUUGCAGAGCAAGAUAUUCAUACGCACAAUGACCGUAAAAGGGCAAACGGGAAAUCGCGCGUUGUACGUGACCAUUGACGUGAUUUGCUAAAAACUACUUCCUGCUGUUGAAAGUGACCACGCCUACUCAUACAUCACAAAAGGAGGAAGCCGAUACCGACGAACGAAGAAACUCAUGUUUGCAAAAUAUUUAUUGUGUUUCUGCGAUAAUAUUUAUGAAUGCCUUAUGAUAGUGUGUGCAGCAAAUCGAAACGUUGCACAUUAUGUUAUCUA